CUGCAAAAUAGCAGGCCUGGAAGGCUCCCACCUUCGACAUAAGAGAGUGUUCAGGAAGGAUGACAACCGGCUGCCUUUUUUUUUUUUUUUUUUUUUUUUUUUUCAAAAAAGGAAGGAGGUGAAUAAAGUUUAAUUCCGAAGCCCCGUAAGGAGUGUAGCAACGUGAGGGUCGCUCCCAGUACGCAGCGGGCACUGUCGGCUGCAGGAGAGCGAUCGGCAAGACGGAAGCGGGUCGAGACCCACCAGGUACCUACCAGUCGUUGCGAGGCUCUGGAGAAAGAAGGGUUAUUUCCUGAAGAUUUGAUAAAAAUGAAAUACGGUCUAUACAACAGACAAAAGUAUCACUGCCCGGGGGGUGCAUAAUCCGAUAUACCACUUGUCAAACAAUUAGCGAUGAACCUUCCUGCGUGGAAAACUUGACCGUAUAUGGAAUUGAAAGAAAAACUUGACAUCGAGAAGGAGAUCUCUGCUCUCAAAAAAACCUUGAGCUUCGCGAGCUCAUCUGGGGAUAGGAGGUGAGGGUGUGGCAAUGAGAGGGACAGAAUAAUCAGUCCAUCUUGUCGUAAAUGCAUUACACACCUAUGCAAAUCCGGGUAUAAUUUUUAAUCUGAUGGCAAGAAAAGCAAGCUUAGUGAAUGAUCACUGAGAUAUUAUCCGGUUUUAUAUAAUAAUCAUGGAUCAUAGUGAUCCUUAAGGCUUUGUAACAAAUCUGUGCACUUCGCAGCCGUCCUUGCUUCACACCUCAGAUAUUUUCAAUCAGCAUUUGAGAUCCUUCCCUGGAGUCUUCAUAUGUAUUUGAUUUUGACAUAUUACGAACUUAAUUCUAUUGAUAUCCUAUGUUUUCACCGGAGGAAUUUGAAAAGUUGUGAAGUGGUUGGAAACACAGAAUUUUAGGAAUAAUGCAAUAGCUCUCCUAGAAUGCACAAUUCUGUUGUGAGAACACUGAGACUCAAAGGAGGCUACUUGCCAAAGAAAGCAAACUAGAGCCCAUUUUACCUCAUUUACAGACCGAAGUUCUGUCCAACAUCAUAUUCAUGUUUCUAUUAUGGAUUAAAAAAAAUAAAAAAGAACUCUAUCCAGUUCA
rnacentral:lncRNA from 1 species